rnacentral:rRNA from 1 species
AUUGAACGCUGGCGGCAGGCUUAACACAUGCAAGUCGAGCGGAGAUGAGGUGCUUGCACCUUAUCUUAGCGGCGGACGGGUGAGUAAUGCUUAGGAAUCUGCCUAUUAGUGGGGGACAACAUUCCGAAAGGAAUGCUAAUACCGCAUACGUCCUACGGGAGAAAGCAGGGGAUCUUCGGACCUUGCGCUAAUAGAUGAGCCUAAGUCGGAUUAGCUAGUUGGUGGGGUAAAGGCCUACCAAGGCGACGAUCUGUAGCGGGUCUGAGAGGAUGAUCCGCCACACUGGAACUGAGACACGGCCCAGACUCCUACGGGAGGCAGCAGUGGGGAAUAUUGGACAAUGGGGGGAACCCUGAUCCAGCCAUGCCGCGUGUGUGAAGAAGGCCUUAUGGUUGUAAAGCACUUUAAGCGAGGAGGAGGCUACUGAGACUAAUACUCUUGGAUAGUGGACGUUACUCGCAGAAUAAGCACCGGCUAACUCUGUGCCAGCCGCCGCUGUAAUAC